rnacentral:rRNA from 1 species
CUCAGUUCGGAUUGGAGUCUGCAACCCGACUCCAUGAAGCUGGAUUCGCUAGUAAUCGCGCAUCAGCCACGGCGCGGUGAAUACGUUCCCGGGCCUUGUACACACCGCCCGUCAAGCCAUGGAAGCCGGGAGUGCCUGAAGUGCGUGAGCGCAAGCAGCGCCCUAAGGUAAAACCGGUGACUGGGGCUAAGUCGUAACAAGGUAAC